AGCUUUGCACCAUGGCAGUAUCAUAGCCAAUGAGUUUCAUUGGGGCAUGAUUAUUGCUAAUUGAGAAUGAUUCUCAAGUUUCCAAAGAGAGAAAAAAUGACUUAGUUUCUCAGCCUUCUAGAUGGCAAAUUUUUCUUCAGUAUUAUUUCU
rfam:Heterocephalus glaber contig141604, whole genome shotgun sequence.